AUUGUUCUUGCUCAUUGCGAUUUCACAGACAGAACCAUGUCAUUAUAGUCAUCUGCAUGCCUUUUGGCUACGUAAAGCGCGAAAUUUCAAUGCCACGUGAGCACGGGACUGAUGGAGAGCCAGUCCCUGGUCAUUUCCGCGUGGAAGAGGCGAUUGUAGGACCUUUUCUGAAAGAAGGACAAGUCCUUGUCCGGACCCUCUUCCUGUCUGUUGACCCUUACAUGCGAUGUCGCAUGAACGAAGACACAGGCGCUGAGUACCUGGCUCCAUGGGGGCUGUCUGAGUGUGUGGACGGUGGAGGCGUCGGGGUGGUUGAGUUAAGCCGCUGCGAUGGCCUCUCUGUGGAUGACAUGGUCACCUCGUUCAACUGGCACUGGCAGACGCAAUGUUUGAUGGAUGAAAAGCUCUUACAGAAGGUUGAGCCACAGCUGGUUGAUGGACAUAUAUCCUACUUCCUGGGUGCAGUUGGCAUGCCUGGUCUCACUGCACUAUUGGGUGUUAGAGAGAAGGGUCAUGUGACCGACGGAGCCAAUCAGACCAUGGUUGUCAGUGGAGCUGCAGGGGCUUGUGGGUCCGUAGCUGGGCAGAUUGGCCGUGUGGAUGGCUGUACCAGGGUGGUGGGGAUCUGUGGGUCUGAUGAGAAGUGCAGAGUCCUUGUGGAGGAUCUGGGGUUCUCUGCAGCAGUCAACUACCGUCAGGGGGAUGUGGCCACAGCACUGAGAGAAAGUUGUCCUAAUGGAGUGGAUGUCUACUUUGACAAUGUGGGAGGGCCCAUAAGCGAUGCUGUAAUAGCACAGAUGAACAAUGAUGGUCACGUUAUCCUUUGUGGACAGAUCUCCCAGUACAACAAGGACGUGCCCUACCCACCACCUCUCUGUGAUGAGACUCGGGAGGCACUGCAAAGUAAAAACAUAACCAGGGAGCGGUUCAUGGUGCUGAACUACAUGGAGAAACACGAAGCCGGCAUAAUCCAGCUCAGUCAGUGGGUCAGAGAGGGGCAGAUCAAGGUGGGUGGAAAUUUGAGACAAAUUAUCCAAAGGUGAGGCGCAAUACGACUCAAGCGCUUCCAGCUGAUUGACAGGAAAUGUGCUUCGGUCAGCAAUGUUCGUUUACAUAGUGUGCUUUACGUGUGACGGCAUCGAGAUGCAAGCCGACAGAACCAUAUACCUACAGGCGCUCAUAAGUUGGGUGUUGGAGACGGUAGUAAAUGGCAUUGAGAAUAUGGGAGUGGCCUUUUGCUCCAUGAUGAAAGGAGGAAACAUUGGUAAACAGAUCAUUAAAAUAUCAGAUUGAUUCAAAUCCCUGGUGGCACCAUCAGAAGCUACUGGAAUCACAAGCUUUUUUUUUUUUUUUUUUUUUUUACACUACUUCCUGCCUUUGAUUUCUAUACUGACAAUAACUGGAUGGACUGAAUAAAAUUAUUUGUAGUUGCACUGUA